UUUGAAACAUCAGUUCCCGUACGAUUACCGAAGUUAAGCAACGUCGAGCCAAGUUGGCAUCUAUCUGGGUGACCGCUUGGGAAGACCAGAUGCUGUAAG